rnacentral:misc_RNA from 1 species
GCCACAUGAACAGAACUACCCUACUCAUGACCUGGAGUUAGCAGCAAUUAUUUCCGCACUGAAGAUAUGGAGGCAUUACUUGUAUGGUGAAAAGUGCUACAUUUACACAGACCACAAAAGCCUGAAAUACUUGCCAACCCAGAAGGAGCUCAAUCUUUGACAGAGGCAAUGGAUUGAGUUCCUAAAGGACUAUGAUUGUGUGAUAGAUUAUCAUCCUGGGAAGGCAAAUGUAGUU